AAAUAUGAGGCAGGCAUUUGGCACAGGGAUUGAGAUGCUUGCAUCCCCUGCCUGAGAGACUGGCUUUGAGCCCUGGCUCCAUCUCCCGAUUCCAGCUUUCUGCUAAUGUACACCCUGGACAACAGCGGGUGAUUGCUCAAGUAUUUGGGUCCCUGAUAUCCAUGUGGGAGAGCGAGGCUGAGUUCCCAGAUUCCAGUUUUGGCCUGGCCCAGCAUCUGGGGAGUGAACCAGCUGAUGGUAGCUCUCUGUCUGUCUCAGUCUUUCUGCCUUUCAACUUUCGAAGCAUCCCAGGUGAGAAGCUACCCAGUGGAGGAUGAUGGAAGAGCCAUGGAAAGCAGAGGGAACAAGCAGGAGGCAAGGAUAAAUAACCGCAGGAUCAGUCAAACUUUGUUCUUGGUCCUCUCUGACAGAUGGAAAGGCUGACAGGAAUGAGUGCAGGACUCUGUUCAGAUGGCCUACGCAGAUUCUGCUACGGGGCAACUGCAGCACUUCAACCUCACUGCUCUUCCCUCACACCACAAUGAACUGGGAUGGGAACGAACUCUGAAGGAUCCUUCUGCA